AACGAACGCUGGCGGCGUGCUUAACACAUGCAAGUCGAACGCGAAAGGGACUUCGGUCCUGAGUAAAGUGGCGCACGGGUGAGUAACGCGUAGAUAACCUGUCUUCAUGUCUGGAAUAAUACGCCGAAAGGGGUACUAAUACCGGAUAUUCUUGCUUUUCAUAAGUUAUGCAAGCAAAGGUGGCCUCUGCAUAUGCUACUGCAUGAAGAGGGGUCUGCGUACCAUUAGCUAGUAGGUGGGGUAAUGGCCUACCUAGGCGACGAUGGUUAGCGGGUCUGAGAGGAUGAUCCGCCACACUGGCGCUGGAACACGGGCCAGACUCCUACGGGAGGCAGCAGUGAGGAAUAUUGCGCAAUGGGGGAAACCCUGACGCAGCGACGCCGCGUGAGUGAAGGAAGGCCUUCGGGUCGUAAAGCUCUGUCAAGAGGAAAGAAGUGUACAAUGGCUAAUACCUGUUGUAUUUGACGGUACCUCUAAAGGAAGCACCGGCUAACUCCGUGCCAGCCGCAGC
rnacentral:rRNA from 1 species